GACGAACGCUGGCGGCGUGCCUAAUACAUGCAAGUCGAGCGGACAGAAGGGAGCUUGCUCCCGGGAGUUAGCGGCGGACGGGUGAGUAACACGUGGGCAACCUACCCUGUAGAUCGGGAUAACAUCGAGAAAUCGGUGCUAAUACCGGAUAAUCAUUUGAAGUGCAUGCUUCGAAUGUAAAAGAUGGCUCCGGCUAUCACUACGGGAUGGGCCCGCGGCGCAUUAGCUAGUUGGUAAGGUAAUGGCUUACCAAGGCAACGAUGCGUAGCCGACCUGGGAGGGUGAUCGGCCACACUGGGACUGAGACACGGCCCAGACUCCUACGGGAGGCAGCAGUAGGGAAUCUUCCGCAAUGGACGAAAGUCUGACGGAGCAACGCCGCGUGAGUGAUGAAGGUUUUCGGAUCGUAAAGCUCUGUUGUUAGGGAAGAACAAGUGCCGUUUGAAUAAGGCGGCACCUUGACGGUACCUAACCAGAAAGCCACGGCUAACUACGUGCCAGCAGCCGCCGCUGUAA
rnacentral:rRNA from 1 species